rnacentral:rRNA from 1 species
GAUGAACGCUGACAGAAUGCUUAACACAUGCAAGUCAACUUGAAUUUGGGUUUUUAACUUAGGUUUGGGUGGCGGACGGGUGAGUAACGCGUAAAGAACUUGCCUCACAGCUAGGGACAACAUUUGGAAACGAAUGCUAAUACCUAAUAUUAUGAUAAUUGGGCAUCCUAUAAUUAUGAAAGCUAUAAGCGCUGUGAGAGAGCUUUGCGUCCCAUUAGCUAGUUGGAGAGGUAACGGCUCACCAAGGCGAUGAUGGGUAGCCGGCCUGAGAGGGUGAUCGGCCACAAGGGGACUGGGACACGGCCCUUACUCCUACGGGAGGCAGCAGUGGGGAAUAUUGGACAAUGGACCGAGAGUCUGAUCCAGCAAUUCUGUGUGCACGAUGAAGUUUUUCGGAAUGUAAAGAGCUUUCAGUUGGGAAGAAACAAAUGACGGUACCAACAGAAGAAGUGACGGCUAAAUACGUG